rnacentral:rRNA from 1 species
UCCCGCGUAAUUUAAGCAUAUUAAUAAGCGGAGGAAAAGAAACUAACAAGGAUUCCCCUAGUAGCUGCGAGCGAACAGGGAGGAGCCCAGCACCGAAUCCUGCGCCCGCGAGCGCGUCUGGAAAUGUGGUGUUCGGGAGGAUCCGGUCAUCUCGCUCGAGUACGCCAGUCCAAGUCCAUCUUGAAAGCGGCCACAGCCCACAGAGGGUGCCAGGCCCGUAGGACGGCGGUCGACUCGGGCGAAAGGGUCUCUCCCAGAGUUCAAGAGUACGUGAAACCGUUCAGGGGUAAACGGGCGAAAUCUGGAAAAUCGAACGGAGAGAUUCAAGCCCCACUCGCUCGUGCGUUGCACGGCGGCCGCCGAUGGGGGCGGGUCGCCCGCGCGUUGCCGCAAGGCGCGCCGGUGUCGUUCCCGCCGUCCACGCGCCGCGUCGUCGUGCUCGCCGGCGUCGGGCCGCACUUCUCUCCCGGUAGUACGUCGCGACCCGUUGGGCGUCUGUCCAAGGCCCGUGCGUGGAGCCGGUCGUUGCGCGCGUCGUGGCGCGCGGGGUUCGCCCCGCGCGCCCACCGCCUCGGCCGACCGCUGCGGUGUCCCGGCAGGCUCGCCCGACGGUAUGCCAUGCCGAUCCGAAACGCACACAGCGCCCGUCAAACGGCGCGUGCGGCGCCUCGCGCGCACGGAUCGCGUCGGCGACGCUCCAUCUAGAGCAUCACCCGACCCGUCUUGAAACACGGACCAAGGAGUCUAACAUGUGCGCGAGUCAUUGGGACCGCACCGAAACCUAAAGGCGUAACGAAAGUGAAGGCAGGCUUAUGCGGCGACGCGCGGACCCACGGGGACGCGCCCGCCCUCCGCCGAGGGGAGAUGCAGCCCGUCCGCAGCGACGCGGCUGCCGCACCCCCGGGGCGUCUCGUUGUCAUUGCGACACAGCAGGCGCACCCAGAGCGUACACGUUGGGACCCGAAAGAUGGUGAACCUGGCGCUCGGAGACGUUGUUGGGCGGCGCCGAGGUCGCGCAAGCGGCCGGAGCCCGCACGUAACCAGUCUCAUCUGGUAAAGCGAAUGAUUAGAGGCCUUGGGGCCGAAACGACCUCAACCUAUUCUCAAACUUUAAAUGGGUGAGAAAUUCGACUUGCUCGAAUACAAUGAAGUCAAAUAAGUAAAUGACAGGAUGAACGAGUGCCAAGUGGGCCAAUUUUGGUAAGCAGAACUGGUGCUGUGGGAUGAACCAAACGUCGAGUUAAGGCGCCUAAAUCGAUGCUCAUGGGAUACCAUGAAAGGCGUUGGUUGCUUAAGACAGCAGGACGGCGACGUUGAUGUGCUGUCGAAUUCAUUUUAAACGUAACGAAUGACCACAUCGGGCGAAAGGGAAUCCGGUUCCUAUUCCGGAACCCGGCAGCGGAACCGACCAUGCGGGCCAAUGUCGCGCAAGCGGCAACUCGUCGGGGUAACCCAAAAGGACCCGGAGACGCCGUCGGAUGAUCGAGGCAGAGUUUUCUGUUCUGUAUGAGCGUUCGAGUUCCCUGGAAUCGCCUAGCGCGGAGAUAGGGUUUGGAACGCGAAGAGCACCGCACUUGCGGCGGUGUCUCGAUCUAUCCCUCGGACCUUGAAAAUCCGGGAGAGGGCCACGUGGAGGUGUCGCGCCGGUUCGUACCCAUAUCCGCAGCAGUCUCCAAGGUGAGGAGCCUCUAGUCGAUAGAAU